AAGUCGUAACAAGGUUUCCGUAGGUGAACCUGCGGAAGGAUCAUUAUUGAAUGAACUUGGUCGGGCUGAUGCUGGUCUCUCCUUGGAGGGGCAUGUGCACGCCUGGCACCAUCUUCUUUUACCACCUGUGCACCUUUUGUAGACUGUGGGGACUACCUUUCCGAGGUCAAACUCGGUUGAAAGGAUUGCUGAUGCCAGCUUUCCUUUGCCUGUCUUCUUGUCUAUGCCUUUUUUUUUUAUCACAAAUGUAUGACAAUGAAUGUUAUGUUGGGCAUUAUUGCCUUUAAAAACCUAAUACAACUUUCAACAACGGAUCUCUUGGCUCUCGCAUCGAUGAAGAACGCAGCGAAAUGCGAUAAGUAAUGUGAAUUGCAGAAUUCAGUGAAUCAUCGAAUCUUUGAACGCACCUUGCGCUCCUUGGUAUUCCGAGGAGCAUGCCUGUUUGAGUAUCAUGAAAUUCUCAACCUUGCUUUUGCAUCUGUGAAAUCAAGGUUGGAUUGUGGGGGACUUUUUUGCAGGCUUCAAAUCGAAGUCUGCUCUCCUGAAAUAUAUUAGCAGAGUUGCAUGAACAGCUUUUUAUUGGUGUGAUAAUCAUCUAUGCCAUGGGCUGUGAAAGCGAGUUUGCCUUCCAAUUUUAACAUCCGUUAUUCAUGACUUUUUGAUCUCAAAUCAGGUAGGACUACCCGCUGAACUUAAGCAUAUCAAUAAGCGGAGGAAAAGAAACUAACAAGGAUUCCCCUAGUAACUGCGAGUGAAGCGGGAAGAGCUCAAAUUUAAAAUCUGGCAAUCCUUGUGGUUGUCCGAGUUGUAAUCUAGAGAA
rnacentral:misc_RNA from 1 species